rnacentral:snRNA from 1 species
GUGCUCGCUUUGGCAGCACGUAUACUGAAAUUGGAACGAUACAGAGAAGAUUAGCACGGCCCCUGUGCAAAGAUGACAUGCAAAUUCGUGAAGCAGUCCAUAUUUUA